AGACAGUGAGGAUCUCAGCCACCUCUGCCCUGGGCCACAUGCUGAGCCGGGACAGGAAAUACAAGCCUGGAGCCACCAUGAAAAGGGAACUGUAUACAUUUCUGCUCCCGUUGCUGCUGAACAUGCAGGAGGGAAACAGCGAGAUGGUCAAGGUCCACGAGGGCGAAUACCAGCUGGUGGGGCAGUGACUGUCCCAGAGCCUUGAGUUCCUGGAGAGCCCACAGACCUCCCUCAGGCAGCUGCCCUGAAUUUCAUAGGAUGCACACUGAGAAACACUGACAUGAGCCGCGUCCGUGAGGAGGACGUGCAGGUGAUCAGGACUGAGUUGGAGAAUCCUGUGAACCAAACUGCAUUAAAGGCCACUGUUGAUGGAAAAGAAAUGGUUACCAUGAAGAAACUUGAUUUUUCCAAA